AACCCAUGUUCAGGACAUUUCCGCAGGAGACAUUUGAACCUAUCCCAUAUCUCAAAAAGAGACUGCAAUUUCAUUUGCAUAAAAGAGUAUAUUUCAUUCUUGAGCUU